UACGUAGGGGGCUAGCGUUGUCCGGAAUCAUUGGGCGUAAAGCGCGUGUAGGCGGUCCGGUAAGUCCGCUGUGAAAGUCGGGGGCUCAACCCUCGGAUGCCGGUGGAUACUGUCGGGCUUGAGUACGGAAGAGGCGAGUGGAAUUCCUGGUGUAGCGGUGAAAUGCGCAGAUAUCAGGAGGAACACCAAUUGCGAAGGCAGCUCUCUGGGACGGUACUGACGCUGAGACGCGAAAGCGUGGGUAGCGAACAGG
rnacentral:rRNA from 1 species